rnacentral:rRNA from 1 species
CCUACGGGCGGCAGCAGUGGGGAAUAUUGGACAAUGGGCGAAAGCCUGAUCCAGCCAUGCCGCGUGUGUGAAGAAGGCCUUCGGGUUGUAAAGCACUUUCAGUGGGGAAGAAAGCCUUGGGGCUAAUACCCUCGAGGAAGGACAUCACCCACAGAAGAAGCACCGGCUAACUCCGUGCCAGCAGCCGCGGUAAUACGGAGGGUGCGAGCGUUAAUCGGAAUUACUGGGCGUAAAGCGCGCGUAGGCGGUCUGAUAAGCCGGUUGUGAAAGCCCCGGGCUCAACCUGGGAACGGCAUCCGGAACUGUCAGGCUAGAGUGCAGGAGAGGAAGGUAGAAUUCCCGGUGUAGCGGUGAAAUGCGUAGAGAUCGGGAGGAAUACCAGUGGCGAAGGCGGCCUUCUGGACUGACACUGACGCUGAGGUGCGAAAGCGUGGGUAGCAAACAGGAUUAGAUACCGGGUAGUC